UCACUUACCUGAGAUACCAUGAUCGUGAAGGUGGUUUCCCCAGGGUGAGGUUCAUCCAUCGCACUCCAGAUAUGCUGACCCCUGUGAUUUUCCGAAAUGUAAGGCACACAAAACCAUAGUUUAUGAUACUGAGGGAAUGUGUUCGUGCCUUCCUGUG
ensembl:snRNA U1 U1 spliceosomal RNA